UGCCUGGCAACGGGCGGCAGCGGCGCUGCGCGCGCGGCGGCCCGGCCCAGCCGCGGCUUAGGCCGCACGAAGCCUCCGGAGAAUUUCCCUCCCCAUCACACCCGUCCCGCACGGCACGGUCCGGUUCGCCCGUCGCGUCAAGGCUCCUGGCUCUGCGUCGACGCGGUUACCCGGGGGUUAAACUCUUUUCCCGGGACGCAGGAGGUUUGUUCUCCCAUUCCCCUGAGGCGUGAUUGAGAGUUGAAGUAGUGCAGGUGCAAGAUGUCUUAAAUACUCUGUCUCCCAGCUAUCGGAUACACAGGGAAUGCUAAUGAACCAUGAUGGUACAAGCACUUCAUUUGUUCAUGAACACAUGUGAGAGUUGGAGCAAAAAGACUGAAGAACUGUGAAGCAAAGGAGAAUCAGGGAGCGGUAACAAACAAAGCCUUCAACAAGACCAGCGCGCUAAUAAAUAUGCUACCAUUACAUUUCCUGAUGGAAGCAUCACAGAAUUUCAUGUAAAUGAUAAAGAUAACUGUGUGGUAUACUAUCUCACCCCCAAGUGUAGUCUGUUGAUUCAAAAAACAUCUGUCUUCAUUUUAGGUAAUAGAGAAGUGGGUAUUGAAUUUAAAAGAGAUUCUAGGUAAGCAUUAGUAUCCUAAGUAUUCUAAGCCAAAGGGGAGCUUUCGCAUUUAAUCUAACAUACA